CCCCUCCCCCUUCUCUGGUAGGAUUUCUCCAUCAUUCCUAAUUAAAGAUAUUUGUAUGAUACAAUUGUAUUUGAUUACUUAAAAGAAAGAACUAUUUCUAUACAUGGAUUCAUGUCUUUUAUUUUAACCUCUUUGGAAGGGUUCUUAGGAAGGGUCUCCCUUGUGCCAAAGUAAUUUCUGCUCUAAUAUUUGAGGACUAGAG
rnacentral:lncRNA from 1 species